UGCCAGCCGCCGCGGUAAUACGGAGGGUCCAAGCGUUAUCCGGAUUCAUUGGGUUUAAAGGGUGCGUAGGCGGCUUGAUAAGUCAGUAGUGAAAGACUGUGGCUCAACCAUAGAAUUGCUAUUGAAACUGUCGAGCUUGAAUCUAGUUGAAGUGGGCGGAAUACAUCAUGUAGCGGUGAAAUGCAUAGAUAUGAUGUGGAACGCCGAUUGCGAAGGCAGCUCACUAAGUUAGUAUUGACGCUGAGGCACGAAAGCGUGGGUAGCGAACAGGAUUAGAUA
rnacentral:rRNA from 1 species